ACACUUGAAGAACCCGAUAGUUCCAACAACUUUCACGACGUGAGCACCGCCAUCCCUAGAAUUUCGCGGAGCGGACGAAGAAGGUCGCAUCGAUGCCAGUCAUCCCUCAUCCGCGACGACGAGGCCGGAGAAGAGCGCCUGACGGCCGCCGGAGAAUGGAGGGUCCGGCCCAGGAGCGGGGAGCCCAUGGCUUUCCGGAAAUGACCCUCCUCUACCCUUUUCGUGAGGAUCGAUGGAAGGAAGGGAGAGAGCCCAAGAAACCACACGCGAGGUGUCAUCCUUUCUCGGGGACGCAGAAUGGCAUUCUUUCUGUAAGUUCUGGAACGAGGGAUUGGUUCGGGCAAGUGAAUGCCCAUUUGCAGACUAAAUACCAUUUGCAUUAGAAAGGUUGAUGGCUCUUGAGGGGUUUUGUUUUGUGAAUUAGAGGGGCAAGCCAUACUUGCGAAUGAGUAUUGCGGCUCGACACCUCUAUAUGAUCAAGUGUCAUAGACGACGGCAGCAUCCAUGGAUGUAGCCCUCGACGACGCCGUGACGAGUGCCGGGUUCUGGCCGUGGUAGGGAAAGAGAGCCCAGUCCAGCAGCAGCUCGAACCCAUGGCUAAACGGGAAUGGUAGUGUGACCCUCCUCUUCUCUUCCCUAGGGGAUCAACGGAAGAAUGGAGAAAUCGUAUGAAACCAUACGUGAGUGGGACCAAAGCUUUGGCCAUCUUUUUGCAAAGGUUGUUUGGAGUGGACACUACAACCUCGGAUUUCAUGACUUGGAAAUAGAAGAAAACAUUGCUUAUAAUUAUAGAGCUAAUUGGAUGCCUGGCUGCCUCAUGUCAAGCGUAAGCUUCAUUUGUUUUUCUUAUAUGUCAUGUUAGUCUAGUAAGAACAUAGGUUGAUGACAAGACUAUUUUGCAAAAUGAAUUUCUGAUAGUCAUAUGAUCUAACUUUAUCUUC